rnacentral:rRNA from 1 species
AUUGCCUACGGGAGGCAGCAGUAGGGAAUCUUCCACAAUGGGCGAAAGCCUGAUGGAGCAACGCCGCGUGAGUGAAGAAGGUUUUCGGAUCGUAAAGCUCUGUUGUUGGUGAAGAAGGAUAGAGGUAGUAACUGGCCCCUAUUUGACGGUAAUCAACCAGAAAGUCACGGCUAACUACGUGCCAGCAGCCGCGGUAAUACGUAGGUGGCAAGCGUUGUCCGGAUUUAUUGGGCGUAAAGCGAGCGCAGGCGGCAAGAUAAGUCUGAUGUGAAAGCCCCCGGCUCAACCGAGGAAUUGCAUCGGAA